rnacentral:ncRNA from 2 species
UCGUUAGGCCUGGGGUGUCUUCCGCAUGGGCUCGCCCGCGCGCGAAGGCUGAGAACAGACCCACCGAACCUGAUCUGGAUCAUGCCAGCGCAGGGAGUCGCCGACGCCUCUAU